UGGUGCCGUUCUUGCGGCGCUAGAACUUCGAUCCAGCAAGGAGGGCUAAGUCGUAAGUGACGUUGCGACUCCGGAGCCGAGAGGCCCCGGAACAAACCUGGCUAUAUGCGGGGAACUCCGAGUAUCCUCUGCGUACCGCGAGCGCGGUAAGAAUCGCGAGGUGCGGACAAUCCGCAGGGAAGGCCGGUGCGAUGGACCGGAACCCUCAGAGACUGCACGCCGGGCUCCGGCUUGUGCCGGAUGAUGAUACAGUCCACGCCCCAUGGCGACAUGGGG
rnacentral:ncRNA from 1 species